rnacentral:rRNA from 1 species
CGUGCCAAGAAAAGCGAUGAUCAUGUUGAAAAUCAAUUCCCGGUACCCGAAACCGACACAGGUGGGCAAGUAGAGAAUACUAAGGGGCGCGAGGUAACUCUCUCCAAGGAACUCGGCAAAAUGACCCCGUAACUUAGGGAGAAGGGGUGCCACCGAGAGGUGGUCGCAGUGAAGAGGCCCAGGCGACUGUUUAGCAAAAACAUAGGUCUCUGCAAACUCGAAAGAGGAGGUAUAGGGGCUGACGCCUGCCCAGUGCCGGAAGGUUAAAGAAGUUGGUCAGUUUUAGGAUGAAGCUAGCGACUGAAGCCCCGGUGAACGGCGGCCGUAACUAUAACGGUCCUAAGGUAGCGAAAUUCCUUGUCGGGUAAGUUCCGACCCGCACGAAAGGCGUAACGAUCUGGGCGCUGUCUCGGAGAGAGGCUCGGCGAAAUAGGAUUGUCUGUGAAGAUACGGACUACCUGCAUUUGGACAGAAAGACCCUAUGAAGCUUUACUAUAGCUUGGAAUUGUGUUCGGGCUUCCUGUGCGCAGGAUAGGUGGGAGGCGUAGAAGGUAUUCUUGUGGGGAUACUGGAGCCAACGGUGAGAUACCACUCUCAGGAGGCUAGAAUUCUAACUUAAUUAAGGACAGUUUCAGGUGGGUAGUUUGACUGGGGCGGUCGCCUCCAAAAAGGUAACGGAGGCGUACAAAGGUUCCCUCAGACUGGUUGGAAAUCAGUCGAAGAGUGCAAAGGCAGAAGGGAGCUUGACUGCGAGAAGUACAGUUCGAGCAGGGUGGAAACACGGUCUUAGUGAUCCGACGGUGCUGUGUGGAAGGGCCGUCGCUCAACUGAUAAAAGUUACUCUAGGAUAACAGGCUGAUCUCCCCCAAGAGUUCACAUCGACGGGGAGGUUUGGCACCUCGAUGUCGGCUCAUCGCAACCUGGGGCGGAAGUACGUCCCAAGGGUUGGGCUGUUCGCCCAUUAAAGCGGUACGUGAGCUGGGUUCAGAACGUCGUGAGACAGUUCGGUCCAUAUCCGAUGUAGGCGUGAGAAUAUUGAGAGGAGCCUUCCUUAGUACGAGAGGACCGGGAAGGACGCACCGCUGGUGUACCUGUUAUGAUGCCAAUUGUAAACGCAGGGUAGCCAAGUGCGGAGAGGAUAACCGCUGAAAGCAUCUAAGUGGGAAGCCCACCUCAAGAUGAGUAUUCUGGUGUAAGGUCACGGGAAGACGACCCGUAAAUAGGCACGAGGUGGAAGUGCAGAGAUGUAUGAAGCCGAAGUGUACUAAUAGACCGUCGGCUUGACC